UGGAUUGUUACCCCCAAUAGGGAACGUGAGCUGGGUUUAGACCGCCGUGAGACAGGUUAGUUUUACCCUACUGAUGACAAGUCGUUGCGAUAGUAAUCCUGCUCAGUACGAGAGGAACCGCGGGAUCAGACAUUUGGUUCAUGCGCUCGGCUGAAAGGCCGGUGGCGCGAAGCUAGCAUCUGCAAGAUUAUGACUGAACGCCUCUAAGUCAGAAUCUUUUCUAGUCAUUGGCAACGAUAAGUUGCGUCCAGACUCGAUGCGAGGAAACGAUUAGGCUUUGCUGCUAUACGGCGAAGCCAUUAUCAGACCACGGUAGCAGGCAGUAUGGGAUUGUUACGAAGAAGCAAUUUUUUGAAGUCAGUUGAAUUCAAUGAAACUGCUAACAAUUCCACUGCGAAUGACUCCAUUCGAAUCAAUCGAAGCACAGCGGUCAGGAUGUCGAACAUUUUGCAGACGACAAAAAUACCGGUUCAGGUGUCGUAAUCAGUAGAGCAGUCAACACACUGCGAUCUGAUGAGACUCAUCCUUGUAAUCGAUUUGCUCGU
rnacentral:ncRNA from 1 species